rnacentral:lncRNA from 1 species
AUUUCUCAGGUUUUAUUACAUUUUUAGCUCACCUGGCCUAAAAGGCCAUGUGAGCUUUUCUCAUCACUUGGCGUCCGUCGUCGUCGUCGACGUCGUCGUCGUCGUUAACAAUUUUUCAAACAUCUUCUCCUCUGAAACUACUGAAUGGAUUUGAAUGAAACUUAGCAUGAUUGUUCCUUAGAUUAUCCUGCACAAAGUGUGUGCUUCGAUUUUUGAUCCGUUAAAAAACAUGGCCGCCGUUACUUAAAAUAGAACAUA